AGUAACACGUGGAUAACCUACCUAUAAGACUGGGAUAACUUCGGGAAACCGGAGCUAAUACCGGAUAAUAUAUUGAACCGCAUGGUCCNAAUAGUGAAAGACGGUUUUGCUGUCACUUAUAGAUGGAUCCGCGCCGCAUUAGCUAGUUGGUAAGGUAACGGCUUACCAAGGCAACGAUGCGUAGCCGACCUGAGAGGGUGAUCGGCCACACUGGAACUGAGACAUGGUCCAGACUCCUACGGGAGGCAGCAGCC
rnacentral:rRNA from 1 species